rnacentral:rRNA from 1 species
CCUACGGGGGGCUGCAGUGGGGAAUAUUGGACAAUGGGCGAAAGCCUGAUCCAGCCAUGCCGCGUGUGUGAAGAAGGCCUUCGGGUUGUAAAGCACUUUCAGUGGGGAAGAAAGCCUUGGGGCUAAUACCCUCGAGGAAGGACAUCACCCACAGAAGAAGCACCGGCUAACUCCGUGCCAGCAGCCGCGGUAAUACGGAGGGUGCGAGCGUUAAUCGGAAUUACUGGGCGUAAAGCGCGCGUAGGCGGUCUGAUAAGCCGGUUGUGAAAGCCCCGGGCUCAACCUGGGAACGGCAUCCGGAACUGUCAGGCUAGAGUGCAGGAGAGGAAGGUAGAAUUCCCGGUGUAGCGGUGAAAUGCGUAGAGAUCGGGAGGAAUACCAGUGGCGAAGGCGGCCUUCUGACUGACACUGACGCUGAGGUGCGAAAGCGUGGGUAGCAAACAGGAUUAGAUACCCGAGUAGUC